rnacentral:rRNA from 1 species
GACGAACGCUGGCGGCGUGCUUAACACAUGCAAGUCGAACGGGAAGGCCCUGCUUAGGGGGGGAGCUCUAGUGGCGAACGGGUGAGUAACACGUGAGUAACCUGCCAUUGACUUUGGGAUAACUUCAUAAAACUGGGGCUAAUACCGGAUAGGAGCUCCUGCUGCAUGGUGGGGGUGGGUAAGUUUCGGCGGUUGGGGAUGGACUCGCGGCUUAUCAGCUUGUUGGUGGGGUAGUGUCUUAGCAAGGCUUUGACGGGUAGCCGGCCUGAUAGGGUGACCGGACAAGCUGGGCCUGAGAUGCGGCACAGACUCCUACGGGAGGGAGGGGUGGGGAAUAUUGCACAAUGGGCGGAAGCCUGAUGCAGCAACGCCGUGUGGGGGAUGACGGCCUUCGGGUUGUAUACCGCUUUCGCCUGUCACGAAGCGUGAGUGACGGUAAUGGGUAAAGAAGCACCGGCUAACUACGUG